AGAUGGAGCCUCACUCCAUCUCCCAGGCUGGAGUGCAAUGUCCUCUAUUCAAGGCCCUUCCACAGAGACACGCAGGAACGGAACUCAGAAUCACAAACAAAGAAACUUCGAUCCAGGAAAGAAAAUGAUCUUAAAAAGACCCUCGUUUCAUGCUGGCCAAUGCUGAGAAAAUCUGCUCUGGAGGAUAUUUGGAGACACUGAUUAACAGCCCAAGACCCAAGCAAGGAUAGGAUUUCGCAGACAUUCCCAAGGGAGAAAAUGCCAUGUCCUUUCCUUCUGGUGUCACAUCAGAAUCUGAAGGCUGCUAGAGAAGGGAGAGAAACAUGCAAGUGAGUCUCAAGCUGAUUGUUGUUGAAAUAUCUGGAAAGAAACUGGCAAAGACUAUCCAAAGGAUGCUAAGACAUGUCCGAACUUACAAAACAGUAGAACCUGAAUAGGAAUUUGAAAUUGUCUAUACUCUCCUCAGCCACACCCUACCAUUUUACAGGUAUGAAAAAUAAUAUUUUCAGCAAAUUGGUGAUAGAUACAAAGUAUCUGAAUUCCCAAACCUGUGUACUUUCCAUUACCAUCUGUUUCCUAAUUGUGUGUGGAUUUCCUUGUUCUCCAGAGCCAAGGAGCAUCAAUAUUUGGUUUCAGAAAUGCUGCUAAAUCCUGAAUAAACAGGAGUGAACAAGCGAGGUAGCAUUCAAGGUCUCUUACUCCUAAACCCAGUUGCAAUACUUGUAUUAAACCCUGGGCUCCAGGCUGCUUCAGUGCUAUUUAACUUUUUCUUUACAAAGAGAGGAGAAAAUGUGGGGGUAUCAGACAUAUCCCACCCUUCCAAGGCCCCGUGCAGACUCUUAAAAGAUGAGAGGGUUUUUGUUUGUGCAUAUGGAUCAAAGACUUUCUUGAAUUUUGGUCAGCAGGGUUUGUUUUAGAUCUGUGAAGUGUGAAGAGGUCUCAAUUGAGUGAUGUCAUGGAGGGCUGGGAAGAUCCCUUUCCUCACGCAGAAUCACUGUUGAGGUGCAUUCAACCAUUAGAAUUCCGCUAAGGUAAAAUACUGGGAAAUAGUAUAGCUUAGGAGUCAUCGUACCUAGUUUCCAAGCCUGGUUCUGCUCCUGUAAUUUAUAACUUCAUCCAUAUGUUCAUUUAAUUAGGAAACAAAACAGUCAUUGAAUAUGUCUUGUACUAUUAUAGGUGCUGAGUAUUCGGUGUGAAAUAAUGCAAUAUUUUUAUUGAUCUUAUAUUGUGGUGGGGAAAGCAAUGAGUCACACAUACAUAUGUAAUAUAAUAAUACCAGUGUUAUGAAGGAAGCAAAAAUCAAAUAAGGCAGUAGAAAGUACCAGACAAGGAGAUGUGUUUGUGUAGGGGUGUGUUAUAGUACUUUAAAAUAGGUCCACAAACUCUUUCACCCUCUCUUCAAAAGGUGCAGCCUAAGCUACCUCCCCUUGAGUGUGGGCUUGGCUUAGUGACUUCUUCUAGCAAAUAGAAUAAAGUAGAAGUGAUGAUAUAUGGCUUUCAGGCUGGAUAAUAAAGCCACUGUGUCUUCCUCCUCCUGUUUUUGGAUUGUCUUCUCUGGGGAAGUUAGCUGUCAUGUUGUGAGGAUACUCAAGCAGUUUAUAAAGAGGUUCAUGUAGCAAGGAAUGGAGGCCUCCUGCCAACAGGCCAUGUAAAGGAGCUAUCUAGGAAACAGAUUCUCCAGCCCCAGUCAGACCUUCAGAUGAUUACAGCCCCUACCAACCUUCUGACUGCGGUGGAAGGAAAGAUCCUGAACCAGAACCACACAGGUAAGAUAAUCCUGGAUUCCUGACCUAGAGAAACUCUGAGAUAAUAUUUGUUGUUUAAAGCCACAGCUUUGUAGGACAAUGUGUUAAACAUAACUAAUACAUGUGAUUAGGGAAGCUCUUAAUAACAGGCUAACAGUUGAGCAGAGACCAGAAUGAAAAAGGGGAAUGAGCCAUGUAAAUAUAUGUAUGAAGAAUGCUUGAAGUAGAGGGGAUAGAACUGGUAUAGGUCCUGUGGUUAGAACAAGCUUCAUAUUUUUCUAGGGAAAUUGCAGGACUUGGAAGUGGGCAAGAGAUACCUGAGUAUCCAUUCAGUAGAGAGCUGAGCAUUGUCUAGGGUAUCCUCUGGGGAUAUCUGAUUAUAUUGAGAUGUUUCUCUUUAACUGAAUUUCUAUUUUCUAAGUUGUUUUACUUAUGGAAAACUGACAGUAAUGCAAAUGAUCCUCCUUAAAGAAAUACAAUGAAUUUUGUCUAAUAGAGAUGUGACUGAAUUCUACCCUGUAGAAAAGAUAGUCCCAAACAAUACAUUUUAAGCAGCUCUAUUGAAAUAUGAUUCUUAUACCAUACAAUUCAUCCAUUUAAAGCUUACAAUUCAGUUUUGUUCAGUAUGCGCACAAGCUUGUACAAACAGCAUAACAAUCUAAUUUUAGACCACUUUAUUGCUCCUCCUCAUCCCUACAAAGAAACCCCAUCCCUAUUAGCAGCUCCUUCUCAUUCUUUUUCAUGUUUUGCUUUCCCCAUCUCCCAAGC